UACGAAGGGGGCUAGCGUUGCUCGGAAUCACUGGGCGUAAAGCGCACGUAGGCGGAUUGCUAAGUCAGGGGUGAAAUCCUUGAGCUCAACUCCAGAACUGCCUUUGAUACUGGCGAUCUCGAGUCCGGGAGAGGUGAGUGGAACUGCGAGUGUAGAGGUGAAAUUCGUAGAUAUUCGCAAGAACACCAGUGUCGAAGGCGGCUCACUGGCCCGGUACUGACGCUGAGGUGCGAAAGCGUGGGGAGCAAACAGG
rnacentral:rRNA from 1 species